CAGCAGCCGCGGGAAUACGAAGGGUGCAAGCGUUAACCGGAAUUACUGGGCGUAAAGCGUGCGUAGGCGGUGAGUUAAGUCUGCUGUGAAAUCCCCGGGCUCAACCCAUAGCCUGCAUCGAAAACUGUCGGGCUUGAGUAUGGGAGAGGUGAGUGGAAUUUCCGGUGUAGCGGUGAAAUGCGUAGAUAUCGGAAGGAACACCUGUGGCGAAGGCGGCCCCCUGGACGAAGACUGACGCUCAGGUACGAAAGCGUGGGGAGCAAACAGGAUUAGAUACCCGUGUAGUCCCUGUCUCUUAUAC
rnacentral:rRNA from 1 species